AAAACAAACAAAUAAAUCAAAACUUUCAACAACGGAUCUCUUGGUUCUGGCAUCGAUGAAGAACGCAGCAAAAUGCGAUAAGUAAUGUGAAUUGCAGAAUUCAGUGAAUCAUCGAAUCUUUGAACGCACAUUGCGCCCGCCAGUAUUCUGGCGGGCA
rnacentral:rRNA from 1 species